UACGUAGGGCGCGAGCGUUGUCCGGAAUUAUUGGGCGUAAAGAGCUCGUAGGCGGUUUGGUAAGUCUGGUGUGAAAUCUCCACGCUCAACGUGGAGGGGCCACCCGAUACUGCCAUGACUGGAGUCCGGUAGAGGAGUGUGGAAUUCCCGGUGUAGCGGUGAAAUGCGCAGAUAUCGGGAGGAACACCCGUAGCGAAGGCGGCACUCUGGGCCGGUACUGACGCUGAGGAGCGAAAGCGUGGGGAGCAAACAGG
rnacentral:rRNA from 1 species